AACAUAGAAAAGCUAGAAAAAACCUUCAUAAAAUUGUUUGCAUUUUUGCUUUGAUUAUUAUUGUUGCUGAUUUAUUUUCUGUUGAUCGAGCAAUUAAGUAAUCAACUAAUUGUUUAAGCUCUUCAUGUAAGUUGAAACUUAGUAAGUUUGGGUAGAUAUACCAUGUAUUAUUCUUAAGUCGUAUCUCUAUUCUCUAUAGUGUUGAAUCAAUAACAUAAUUGACAGCAAAAAUUACUCACUACUUGAAGUGUGAAGUU